rnacentral:rRNA from 1 species
UACGAAGGGGGCGAGCGUUGUUCGGAAUUACUGGGCGUAAAGGGCGCGUAGGCGGUCCUUCAAGUCAGGCGUGAAAGCCCCGGGCUCAACCUGGGAACCGCGCUUGAGACUGGCGGACUCGAGUUCGGGAGAGGAUGGUGGAAUUCCCAGUGUAGAGGUGAAAUGCGUAGAUAUGCGGAGGAACACCGAUGGCGAAGGCAAUCCCCUGGGCCUGCACUGACGCUCAUGCACGAAAGCGUGGGGAGCAAACAGG